rnacentral:rRNA from 1 species
GAUGAACGCUAGCGGCAGGCUUAACACAUGCAAGUCGAGGGGUAGAAGUUGCUUGCAACUUUGAGACCGGCGCACGGGUGCGUAACGCGUAUGCAAUCUACCUUGUACAGGGGGAUAGCCCAGAGAAAUUUGGAUUAAUACCCCAUAGUGUAAUUGAAUGGCAGCAUUUAAUUACUAAAGUUCCAACGGUACAAGAUGAGCAUGCGUCCUAUUAGCUAGUUGGUGUGGUAACGGCAUACCAAGGCUACGAUAGGUAGGGGUCCUGAGAGGGAGAUCCCCCACACUGGUACUGAGACACGGACCAGACUCCUACGGGAGGCAGCAGUGAGGAAUAUUGGACAAUGGGCGCAAGCCUGAUCCAGCCAUGCCGCGUGCAGGAAGACGGUCCCAUGGAUUGUAAACUGCUUUUAUACGGGAAGAAACACUCCUACGUGUAGGAACUUGACGGUACCGUAAGAAUAAGGAUCGGCUAACUCCGUGCCAGCAGCCGCUGUAACAC